GAUAAGGAAGACAAGAUCUCAACCACUUUCAGCAAAGCUUUGCAAACAGUGCAGCAUCCUUCAAGACACCAUGAAGCUCCACGCGUCUGGUCAUCUUGUUUCUUCGGGGAAUAAAUUUAUUCUCUGCUUCAGCUUGCUGCUGUGUUUAAAACUACUGAUUGACAACCCUACUUGUAAAGGCCCCUACCUUGGCUCCUAUGACUGCAUUAUCCGGGAGGUGGGCAGCAAACCCUAGGGAAAGCCUUUCAUCAAUGAACCUGGAUAGCAGUCACACUUGACCAGUAAAGAAAAUCCCUCCAGCAGAGAAUUGCAGAUACUCAUACCAAGAAGCCUUUCUUGUGAACGGAGGAUGGAUGUGGAGCUGGUCUGAGCAGGCUGCCUACUGCAUCUGCUAUGACACCCAGCAAACCGGAAGGUGACAGACCUGCAUCUCUAGCCUUUUUGUACUUCAGGCACAACUCAAAGCUGCCAAUAAUCAUGUUGCCCAAUUUGUGGGCUGGAACUGCAGUCUUACGUGUGGCAUGAGUUGCCUUCAGAACCCAAAGAGGCCUACCAGGCACUCCUUUUUUGAGGGAAAAAAAGUUACAAGUUUCCUACCAGGACAAAUUCCAUAGUCAGGUUUUCCACAUGUGGGGAAAUCACAGGGGUCAGCACAUCCAACAUGCAGUGGACAAGCCUUGCACUGGGUAAACCACAUUCAUGGUCAUGGAAUCUCAUUUACCAGAUAAGUAUUAGUCUUGCUUUUCAAAAAUC